GGCGACCGUCACUUGUUUCCCGAGCUGCGCACGAGAGGCUGCGCAGUGACGAGUCCAGAGGAAGAAAACCCAAAAUGGCUUCCAGCGAGACCGCCACCGACGACUCUCUUUACCCGAUUGCCGUGCUUAUUGACGAACUACGAAACGAGGAUGUACAGUUACGGCUGAAUUCCAUCAAAAAGCUUUCCACAAUUGCUCUUGCACUGGGUGUAGAGCGAACUCGCAGUGAAUUGAUCCCCUUCUUGACUGACACAAUCUAUGAUGAAGAUGAAGUAUUGCUCGCUCUCGCAGAACAGCUCGGCACUUUCACCCCACUUGUUGGAGGGCCAGAAUACGUACAUUGUCUCCUGCCCCCUCUGGAAUCCCUGGCUACAGUUGAAGAAACAGUAGUACGAGAUAAAGCUGUUGAUUCACUGAGAAGGAUUUGUGAAGAACACAACACAGAAGAUUUGGAGUCACACUUUGUCCCUCUGGUGAAGCGGCUGGCUGUUGGAGACUGGUUCACAUCACGCACAUCUGCCUGUGGACUUUUCUCAGUAUGCUAUCCAAGAUUGUCUGUGGCAACAAAGGCUGAAUUGCGAUCACAUUUCCGUUCUCUGUGUCAAGAUGACACACCCAUGGUACGACGUGCAGCAGCAGCCAAAUUGGGUGAAUUCGCAAAGGUUGUUGAAGUGGAAUAUUUGAAGACAGACCUUAUCCCCAUGUUUGUUGCACUAGCCCAGGAUGAACAGAGUACCCCUCAACUCUGGCAGGAUUCAGUGCGGCUUUUGGCGGUGGAGGCAUGCGUAAGCAUGGCUGGGCUCCUACAGCAGGAGGACACAGAGAUGCUGGUGAUGCCAACACUCCGCCAGGCUGCAGAAGACAAGUCAUGGAGGGUUCGUUACAUGGUGGCAGACCGCUUCAUUGACCUCCAGAAGGCAGUGGGGCCUGAAAUCACCAAAACAGAUCUCGUACCAGCGUUCCAGAGUCUGUUGAAGGAUGUUGAGGCUGAAGUACGUGCAGCAGCCGCUGGAAAAGUCAAAGAUUUCUGCCAGAAUGUGGAUCCAAGUGUGCAGGAAAAUGUUAUCAUGAACAAUGUUUUACCAUGUGUAAAGGAACUAGUAACAGAUGGUAACCAACAUGUAAAGAGUGCACUAGCGGGUGUUAUCAUGGGCCUGUCACCCAUCCUAGGGAAAGAGAACACAGUGAACCACCUUCUUCCGCUAUUCCUGUCACAGCUGAAGGAUGAAUGCCCCGAAGUCAGACUUAACAUUAUCUCUAAUCUCGACUGUGUGAAUGAAGUCAUUGGAAUCCAGCAGCUGUCGCAAUCAUUGUUGCCAGCCAUUGUAGAGUUAGCAGAGGACACAAAGUGGCGUGUGCGCCUGGCCAUUAUUGAAUAUAUGCCCCUUCUUGCUGGUCAACUUGGGGUUGAAUUCUUCAACCAAUCCCUCUCCAAACUGUGCAUGACCUGGCUAGUGGAUCAUGUAUAUGCUAUCCGUGAGGCUGCUACUAACAACCUAAGAAAGCUUGUGGAGAAAUUUGGUUCUGAGUGGGCCUCCCAGAAUGUAUUGCCCAAGAUUAAUGCCAUGUCACGGGACGGCAACUACCUUCACCGUAUGACCUGUCUUGCUUGUAUCAACGUUGUUGGAGAAGUGUGUGGAAAGGAUGUGACGACCAAGACUCUGCUGCCCACAGUCCUCUCCAUGGCAAAUGAUAACGUUCCCAAUGUCAGGUUUAAUGUGGCAAAAACACUACAGAUUAUUGGUCCCCAUGUGGAAAAAGAUGCCCUCCACUCUCAAGUUAAACCAGUGUUGGACAGACUCAAUGAUGAUGCAGAUACAGAUGUUAAAUAUUUUGCAUCAGAGGCUUUAACAGAAAAUGGUCUAAUAUAAAUGGCCUUAUUUUUUCUAGCCAUUGGCUGAGAAAAAAAGGUGCUGCUGUUAUAGUCUUCUGCCAUGACACCAUUGUUUGCGGCAUCGUAGGCAGACCGUAGCAUCCGUAGCAUGCACAAGUCAGCAUCCGUAAGCCAGAUCCAGGAGAGUUUUAGCCAUCACCAAAAUUUCUUUCGCUUAUCAUCAAAGGAAAAGAGCAUUUGCUUGACCCAUUUCUCUCUCUCUCUCUCUCUCUCUCUCUCUCUCUCUCUCUCUCUCUCUCUCUCUCUCUCUCUCUCUCUCUCUCUCUCUCUCUCUCUCUCUCUUCCUCCCUCCCUCCCUCUCUCCCUCUCUCCCUCCCCCUCCCCCUACAUUUCCUCCCUUUUGUGAUUUCACUCGGCUUCUUGUGUCCCUCUUCUCUUUCCUCUACUUGGUGGUGCUAUAUAACCACUACCUUAGUCUUUUAUUCUUCAAUUCCCAAUGUAGCAAGAAUUAUUUAUUGAAAUACAAUGCUCUGUUACAAUGGUUUAUUUUUCUUCUUUUUUUUUUUUUUUUUUGUUUUCUUUUAUUCUAUCAAAGUACCCAGUUAAGGAUGUAUUGUAUCUACUCCUACAGUGUAAUUUUGAUUUGACAUGAUUGAUAUCUGCAGCGAGGAAAAACAGUUAGGAGUGAUGAUAUUGGUCAUAAUUUAAUUUUCUCUUAACAUUUUGCUGAACCUUGAUAUGGAAAGAUAGCUAACCAAGCAAAUAGUUGCUGAAUCAUUUUCUUACCAUUAUCAUCAUUAUCAGUGUUUUUUGUGCAUUUUUUUUUUUUCUUCCCUUUCUUUCGAAAUUCAGGCACUCGGAGUCUUAAAAGCAGUGGACCAUGUUGCUUUCUUAGUUUUUUUUAUAUUUCCGUUAAUGGUGCAGAAGUGGAGGACUGUAGCAGCGUCUCUUUAAAAUACUUGUGAACUUCGUACAUUCUACCAUAAGAGUAGGAGUGAUUUUAAGUCGUUACAUAGUCACUAUUAUUUCGUAACCAGUCCCAAUCAUAAGCAGGAAUCAUUGUUAGUGUAAUAUUAUAAGUAAAAAAAGAAAAAAAAAAAAAGGAGCUCUAUCGGUCGUGAACGCCAUGUACAUGUAUAGAUAAAUUAUAUAAAUACAUUAAUGUGUGUUGGUCAGUUCUGACUUUGUGACAGAAUUAUACUAAAAACAAAAGGAAUUAAAGGAGACGAGAAAUAAAAUGAGAAACUAACCUGAGUUUUGUGGAUAUACCAAUAUUUCUUGGGAGUAUAUGUAAAGGAAUUGCUUUUGUAUCAUUCAGUUAAUUCACAUACAACACAGGCUGCCCUUGCUUAGGAAGGUUGCUGCUAUCGAAAGAUCACUCCUCCGUACUUGUUAAAAUAAUACUCUGCAUUACCUCCCCUUCCCUUCCUCCAAGUACUAGGCCGUAAUAUAUAUUUUAAAAUGAGUAUGAUGUUGAGCAUAGACCCUUACCAUCGCUGCUCCAUAUAGAUAGGUUACCUUAUAUGUGUCAAGGAAUAUUAUUUUAUGAUUUUAUAUUUAUAUAAGUUUGCAGAAAUGAGGAUAAAAUGAAAGAGCUUUUUUUUUAUAUAACUUUUAUCAUUAAUGUGAUCAGCUCCAAUGCUAAUGUAUUCUAUAACUUUUCUGUACAAAUAAAUAUUCCACAGUGGA